UAUCGCCUACGGGGCGCAGCAGUGGGGGAUAUUGCACAAUGGGGGAAACCCUGAUGCAGCGACGCCGCGUGGGCGAAGAAGUAUUUCGGUAUGUAAAGCCCUAUCAGCAGGGAAGAAGAAAUGACGGUACCUGAGUAAGAAGCACCGGCUAAAUACGUGCCAGCAGCCGCGGUAAUACGUAUGGGGCAAGCGUUAUCCGGAUUUACUGGGUGUAAAGGGAGGGCAGGCGGCACGGCAAGCAUGAUGUGAAAGC
rnacentral:rRNA from 1 species